CUCCUUUUCCUGCCCCAAUUCUGGGUGGUCCCAGUGCAUUGCUUAGAUCUUCUUUCUCCAUUGAAUAUCCUCUUGUUUUAUCCUCCCACAGCUCUUCUGCCAAAACAUGCAUUCCAGUGACCUGAUGUCUGUGCUCAACCAGGAUGAGGGUACUUUCGGGGCUGCCCUUAUCAAGGAGAAUAGCACCUAGAGCCUCAAUGUCUGGGUUGGUCAUUAUCACCCUAAUAUGGCCCCCGACAUUGAAAAAGCUUGUGAAAAAGGAAGUGUUACCUGAUCCUUGAGAAAAUGCUGACUUGUUAACUGGAAAGAUCCAUGUCUGUGGCAAUUCUCAGCCUUUUCCAGGAAGAGUCUCCUCCCCAUGGUGAGACUCUCCUUGAACCAAUGCCACUAUCUACCUGUGACCUUGUCAUG
rnacentral:lncRNA from 1 species